GAUGAACGCUGGCGGCGCGCUUAACACAUGCAAGUCGAACGGUGAAGCAGGAGCUUGCUCUUGUGGAUCAGUGGCGAACGGGUGAGUAACACGUGAGCAACCUGCCCCUGACUCUGGGAUAAGCGCUGGAAACGGCGUCUAAUACUGGAUAUGUGAUGUGACCGCAUGGUCUGCAUCUGGAAAGAAUUUCGGUUGGGGAUGGGCUCGCGGCCUAUCAGCUCGUUGGUGAGGUAAUGGCUCACCAAGGCGUCGACGGGUAGCCGGCCUGAGAGGGUGACCGGCCACACUGGAACUGAGACACGGCCCAGACUCCUACGGGAGGCAGCAGUGGGGAAUAUUGCACAAUGGGCGGAAGCCUGAUGCAGCAACGCCGCGUGAGGGAUGACGGCCUUCGGGUUGUAAACCUCUUUUAGCAGGGAAGAAGCGAAAGUGACGGUACCUGCAGAAAAAGCACCGGCUAACUACGUGCCAGCAGCCGCGGUAA
rnacentral:rRNA from 1 species